AGCGAACGCUGGCGGCAGGCCUAACACAUGCAAGUCGAACGGACCCUUCGGGGUUAGUGGCGGACGGGUGAGUAACACGUGGGAACGUGCCUUUAGGUUCGGAAUAGCUCCUGGAAACGGGUGGUAAUGCCGAAUGUGCCCUUCGGGGGAAAGAUUUAUCGCCGUUAGAGCGGCCCGCGUCUGAUUAGCUAGUUGGUGAGGUAAUGGCUCACCAAGGCGACGAUCAGUAGCUGGUCUGAGAGGAUGACCAGCCACAUUGGGACUGAGACACGGACCAAACUCCUACGGGAGGCAGCAGUGGGGAAUCUUGCGCAAUGGGCGAAAGCUUGACGCAGCCAUGCCGCGUGGAUGAUGAAGGUCUUAGGAUUGUAAAAUCCUUUCACCGGUGAAGAUAAUGACUGUAGCCGGAGAAGAAGCCCCGGCUAACUUCGUGCCAGCCGCCGCCGUAACAC
rnacentral:rRNA from 1 species